ACGCGAUCGAGUGAAUCAUCGAAUCUUUGAACGCACAUGGCACUGCCCGGAAUCCCGGACAGUAUAUCUGUUUAAGUAUCGUUUCAAUCUCACCCCACGUGUAGUGUGUAAACAUUCCAUGUAGAGUGGAACUGGGGUCUUGUGGGUUUCCCACAUGCCUUUAAAAAUAGUAGUACGUUCUAUUAGAACAGUCCGCAAGGAAUCUCUUGAUAGCAUCUUACCCUAAACGAAUAGGCUUCGCGCCUUGAAUUACCAUCUCAAAUCAGAUAAGAUUACCCGCUGAACUUAAGCAUAUCAAUAAGCGGAGG
rnacentral:rRNA from 1 species